rnacentral:rRNA from 1 species
AAGGCUGCAAAUGGCUCAUUACAACAGCAACAUAUUUCGCAGUGAUUGACCUUACAUGGAUAACUGUGGAAAUCUAGGGCUAAUACAUGCAGCAAACCUGACUUUGUGGAAAGGUUGCUAUCAUGAGUCAUAGAAUCGACGCAGGCUCUGCCUUGCUAUCAAGGUGAGUCAUGAUAAUUUUGCUGAUCGCACAGCUUGACUGACGAUGAACUGCAUAAGUUUCUGACAUCAGCUUCCGACGCUAGGGUAUUGGCCUACUGUGGCAAUGACGGGUGACGGAGAAUUAGGGUUCGAUUCGGGAGAAGGAACCUGACACAUGGCUUCCACAUCUAAGGAAGGCAGCAGGCGCGCAAAUUACCCAAUCCUGACACGGGGAGGUAGUGACAAACAAUAACAAUACGGGGCAUCCAUGUCUUGUAAUUGGAAUGAGCUAGCUCCAAACAUGUUGGUGAGUAUCAAUUGGAGGGCAAGUCUGGUGCCAGCAGCCGCGGUAAUUCCAGCUCCAAUAGCGUAUAUUAAAACUGUUGCGGUUAAAAAGCUCGUAGUUGGAUUUCUGUCAAGGACAACUGGCCGCCCUCCGGGUGAGUACAUAGUUUGGUCUUGGCAUCUUGCUGGAGACUGUUGCUGCACUCUUGUGUGGUGCAGUGUCCAGCACUUUCACUUUGAGGACAUUGGAGUGCUUCAAGCAGGCACAUGCCUCUGGACACAGUAGCAUGGAAUAAUUAGAUAGGACUUCUGCUCCAAUUUGUCGGUUUCUGGAGCUGAGGUGAGAAUCAAUGGGGAUUGCUGGAAGCAUCCGAAUUUAGCCGUCAGAGGUGAAAUUCUUAGGUUAGCUGAAGAUGGACGACUGCGAAAGCGUUUGCCCAGGAUGUUUUCAUUGAUCAAGAACGAAAGGUAGGGGAUCGAAGACGAUCAGAUACCGUCCUAGUCUUAACCAUAUUCUAUGCCAACUAGGGAUUGGUGGUCGUUAAUUGCACGACCCCAUCAGCACCUGAUGAAACUUCAAAGUCUUUGGGUUCUGGGGGGGGUUUUGGUCGCAAGGUUGAAACUUGAAGGAAUUGACGGAAGGGCACCACCAGGAGUGGAGCCUGCGGUUUAAUUUGGCUCAACACGGGGAAACUUACCAGGUCCAGACAUAGGCAGGAUCGACAGAUUGAUAGCUCUUUCGUGAUUCUAUGGGUGGUGGUGCAAGGCCGUGCUGAGUUGGUGGUGUGAUUUGUCUGGCUAAUUCCGUUAACGAACGAGACCUUAUCUGGCUAAGUAGCUAUACAUACAUAGCGGGGGUUUUGCAGACAGUUUCAGGUCUGUGAUGCCCUUAGAUGUUCUGGGCUGCACGCGCGCUACACUGAUGCUUUCAGCGAGUCCAAUACCUUGAUGAGAGAGGGAGGGGUAAUCUCUGGAAAGUGCAUCGUGAUGGGGAUCGAUUAUUGUCAUUAUUAAUCUUCAACGAGGAAUUCCUAGUAAGCAUGUGUCAUCAGCCCGUGCUGAUUACGUCCCUGCCCUUUGUACACACCGCCCGUCGCUCCCACCGAUUAAGUGAUCCGGUGAAUUAUUUGGACCCGAGUGCGUCCAGUUCCUGGAUGCAUUUGUGGGAAGUUUUGUGAACCUUACCACUUAGUGGAAGGAGAAGUCGUAACAAGGUUUCGGUAGGUGAACCUGCAGAAGGAUCA